CAGUCGCCACGGUAAUACGAAGGGGGCUAGCGUUGUUCGGAUUUACUGGGCGUAAAGGGCUCGCAGGCGGUUUCUUAAGUCUGAUGUGAAAGCCCCCGGCUCAACCGGGGAGGGUCAUUGGAAACUGGGAAACUUGAGUGCAGAAGAGGAGAGUGGAAUUCCACGUGUAGCGGUGAAAUGCGUAGAGAUGUGGAGGAACACCAGUGGCGCAGGCGACUCUCUGGUCUGUAACUGACGCUGAGGAGCGAAAGCGUGGGGAGCGAACAGGAUUAGAUACCCCCGUAGUCCCUGUCUCUUAUAC
rnacentral:rRNA from 1 species